CGGCGGACGGGUGAGUAACACGUGGGUAACCUGCCUCAUAGAGGGGAAUAGCCUUUCGAAAGGAAGAUUAAUACCGCAUAAGAUUGUAGUACCGCAUGGUACAGCAAUUAAAGGAGUAAUCCGCUAUGAGAUGGACCCGCGUCGCAUUAGCUAGUUGGUGAGGUAACGGCCUACCAAGGCGACGAUCAGUAGCCGACCUGAGAGGGUGACCGGCCACAUUGGGACUGAGACACGGCCCAAACUCCUACGGGAGGCAGCAUG
rnacentral:rRNA from 1 species